GUGAGAUUUUAGUUUGUUGAGGGCCUGUUGUUGAUGGACAGUAAUAUUGGCCUCCCCUACAGGACGUCGAGGUCGGAGGUCACGGAAGGAGCGGAGGUCCUGAUCGAUGAGCUGGCGUAUAGGCUUCGAGACGGACUUCAAGGCUGGUUCCCAGAUAGACGGCGUAGUAAAAGGUAACACCGCCUGACCAGGUGGUGGAGUGGUCAGCGCCGGCGAGGAGGACGACGGACAGAGUCGCUUCCGGGUCGCGGCACUUGCGAGGGAGAGACGGUUGGGUCUAGGGGCUGAGGAAGCGGUAAUGGUGACUGGGGGCUCCGGGUCCGGCGUGGGAGAUCCAAGGCUCGUCUCCAGGACGCCAGGAGGGUCAAUGACUGCCGAGGUGGUCCGCACCGGUGGGACGACCGGAGGAGGACGUGGCCUGGUCACUGGUGCCAUAGUGGACUGUGGUCGUCUGGGAAGCGGUGGAAAGGCCCCAAGGUCCGAGAGGAGCAGCGGAGUGGCAGGCGGUGGCGGAUCCGGGGCCGACAGCAGCAGCCGUAGUGCGGAGAUGGAAGACGGAGUAAGGGGUCUGCCAUAGCGCUGGUGGGCCCACCGGAGGGCUCUGUCGAGGGCCUCAUUGUUAAAUGGCCCCAGGUUAGUACGGAUCUUUGCUAUAGUGUAUGUAUAAUGUUGUAUUAAGGUCUUUACAUUUAUAAUCAUGUCCUCCAUUGUGUUCUCUUUAAUUUUGUUUAAGACCAGAUCGUCAGGGGCCGCCGGUUUAAUGAAUGCUCUAAGUUGAGCUUCUUUCCUAGCCAUCCCUAAUGGUGGGAUGCCUGUUCUAAUGGAUUCUUCUAGAAUUUCUGUAUGAUGAAUUGAUUGUAAUAUUUGAAAAUAAUGUUUGAUUAAUUUCGGGUCUAGAUCGGUUGAAGGACUCGUCCCGACCGGAGUCAAUUUUACGUGUUUCUGUCGGUCUGUAAGGUGAUUGGGCCUACCCAAUAGGCUAAACCUAUUUCUAAAAUCAUUAGCCAUUUCGUUAGAAGAUAAAAUGGAAUGAAAAUAAAAAAGGCCUAGGACUAUUUGCAAAAAAAGGAGGGGGUUUGGGAGUUGGAGUUUUUAAAAAAGAACCAACGUAGAGAAAAGAAGGAAAAGAUAAAAGAGAGAUGUAAAAUCAACUAAAAUAGAAUAAGGUUAAAACCGUAGCUUGCAAAAGAUGGCGAUUAAAACAAUAGAUGCAGUUAUAACCAUAAGAUAAACAAAGAAUGUAAAAUAAUAAUAAUGUCAUAACCGGUCAGCUGGUGCAAUGUCUUUUAGCUAGGAGGCAUGGUUAGCUUAGCAAGAAUAAAAUCGAUUUCCCCAAUCGGUUCCGUCGAGUAGUCUUUAGCUGGGAGGUAGGCUGUGCUUGGUUUAGGUGACAGGAUGUCGUUGAUCCGCCCGAUGGGGUUGUAGAAUAUCCCAAAAACUGAUUACAGUCCAAAGUUAAAAAAAGCUGAACACGUAGAUGUCUCUGUACUCACCAGCCAAAAAAGCAUUUGAAGGAGAUUUGAUUAAAACCAAAGGGAAUGAGGUAAUUUCCACAGGUGUUAAAAAAGUAUAAAGUUUAAUCGCUCCAAAAUGCAGGUUGACCAAGUAAAAACAGACUUUGUUUAAAAGUAAGUUAAAGCAAACAAAGUAAAAUAAUUAAAAUAAAGUACAUCCAAAUUAAAAACUCCAAAGUUGCUAAAACAACAGUUCACCAGAAUAACUGACUUUACAUCCACAGAAAUAGAGAGCGUUCCUAACGUUUCACCCAGUUAGGCUUUGUCAGAUGAAGGGUUAGGGUUAGGGUUAGGGUAAGGGCUACUUACCACUUUUGAAAAACG
ensembl:lncRNA